CGUAGGGGCCAAGCGUUGUUCGGAUUUACUGGGCGUAAAGGGCGCGUAGGCGGCGAAUCAAGUCAGCUGUGAAAUCUCCGAGCUUAACUCGGAACGGUCAGCUGAUACUGCUUUGCUAGAGUGCAGAAAGGGCAACCGGAAUUCUUGGUGUAGCGGUGAAAUGCGUAGAUAUCAAGAGGAACACCUGAGGCGAAGGCGGGUUGCUAGGCUGACACUGACGCUGAAGCGCGAAAGCUAGGGUAGCAAACGGGAUUAGAUACCCCGGUAGUCCUAGCCCUAAACGAUGUAUGCUUGGUGUCUGGAGUUUUUAUCUCUGGGUGCCGUCGCUAACGCUUUUAGCAUACCGCCUGGGGAGUACGCACGCAAGUGUG
rnacentral:rRNA from 1 species